CUUUAAGUGCUGGGAUGCUUCUAGCCUAAAAAGGUUUGGAAUCUCAAUUCCUGUUUUCUUUUACUUUAUCCAGCCUAUAUCAGUGUGGUGUAACUGCCUGAAGUAACCAGGAAAAUAAAACUAACAUUCACAUUUUUAAGGAAAAGGUACAGCAUUGAAGAGGCUUUCAGGGUAGGGCAUAACUGCAUUACCUGAGCGUUCCCUAGGCUCCCAACCUUAGAUGCUAUCGCGCUGGGGAAACUUGGUGUGCUAGCCCUAGGGAACACCACGGUGCAUGGAGUGGAGUGGAGACCCCACGGCUAGGCUCUGUAAUCAGGUGGGGCCUUGAUUGUUCUUGUGCACAAAGCUGCACUUUUUGCCACCCUAAGCCAAAGACCUGUCAUGUUUUGACAAAUGCUGUACCCUAGUGUACUUUUUGCUCAUUAUAAUAUCAUUAUAAUACCAAAACACACCUCCAUCCCAAAAGCUACCCACCUCCAAGGUGCGACCACCCCUCACUGAGCAUGCGCCCUGAAUUUCUCGGAGCCUAUUACUUUAAACGGAGACGGGAAAACUUUACACCAAUCAUAACUAAGAUAUGCUUGACUAGAGCCACUCAAGCUCCACCUAAAAGAUAGAAAAUAAUAUAAAUUGGCCCGAGAGAGAGGGGAUGUUAGGGAAGAUACCACCGUCAGGGGAGAUACCAUCCCGAGGACAUACAACAUCUUUAGGACCUCCUGACUCCUGGGAUUAGUCGACGGGCUGAGCCUCUCUUCCCCCCCCAUUGGGACGCCUUUGGCACAACGGCUCGGGCUGCAGUGUGUUAAAAGCUGAAAGGAAGCUGGGCAGAAACAGAGGGAAGUCAGAAUUAAGAGGAUUAUGAAGUUCACUGGCUUUCUGAAAUGAAAUUGGCAGCGCAAUGCUGAAAUGUGGUGCCUUGGGGCCUGAUGUCCCACCUGCCUCUCAGAAACACAGUGGACCUAUUCUUACCUGUUUUACAGGUAAAAUUUUCAUUUUUUUCCAUUGGAACCCUGCAUCAGAGCAGAAGCAAAUGAAGCAGAAAGGAGCGUGGCAUCACCUCUCAUCUGGUCUCUCCCAUAUCAUCUCACUACACAAGGUCUACCACUGUAAGCCAGACAGGCAAUCUCAAAGAGGAAGUGUCUCCAAAAUGCAUCAAAUACUUAUGUUUAUCAAAUAG
rnacentral:lncRNA from 1 species